GCAAAAUUCAUCAUAUUUACAAAUAAAACUUCCAACACACUUCACUGACUGAGAUAUUGAUUGGAGAAGCUAAAAUAAUACACUUCUACUUGAUGUUCAAUAAAAUACAUAUAUCGCGACAUGGAUCCUCAACCCUAGGAAGAGAAACCAAAAUCAGUAGAUAUGUGUUUAUCAUGAAUGUCUUGCUUCUCAGCUCUACACAAGACUCUUGCUUUACCCGAGCAUCCACGUACCAAAAAUCCAAUUUCACAAGGUGUUAUCGCCAAUGUGUGUGUGUGUACCUGGAAAAAUAGUUGCAUUUCAAAGUGAGUGAAAAAGUCUCACAAGCUUUCUUGCAACUGGUUGAGCAGUAUGUCAGAUCCUUCAUCGUUAUCAGAUGUAUCCUUCUCUAUUUCUCGCUCACUACUGGUAAAUGAACCAUUUGAUAAUGGAAUAUAUGACAUGUACUUUUCAUCGUCAAGACACCCAACUUGCUUCAACACCUCCAACAGGACUUCUUUAUUUUGUAUAUCGUCUUCCUGCUCACAAAGCCUGAGAAUGGAAGAUACAGUUGCAGGUUUCGGUCUCCAGCUCUUUGAUCCCUCACUUGAAACAGCAUCCUUCAAGCAUGACAAAGCCUCUGAUAUCCUCCGAUCCCUGAUAUGGCCUUCGGCAAGGAUCUCGCAGGUCAUUGAGUUUGGCUUUCCACCAGCUCCAAUCAUUUGGUCAAAGAAAGCACUAGCCUUGUCCACGAAACCCUUCCUCACGUAAUA
rnacentral:misc_RNA from 1 species